rnacentral:rRNA from 1 species
GAGUUAUCGCUAUUAGAUGAGCCUAUGUUAGAUUAGCUAGUUGGUAAGGUAAUAGCUUACCAAGGCUAUGAUCUAUAGCUGGUCUGAGAGGACGAUCAGCCACACUGGAACUGAGAUACGGUCCAGACUCCUACGGGAGGCAGCAGUGGGGAAUAUUGGACAAUGGGCGCAAGCCUGAUCCAGCUAUGCCGCAUGAGUGAAGAAGGCCUUAGGGUUGUAAAGCUCUUUCAGCAGGGAAGAUAAUGACGGUACCUGCAGAAGAAGUCCCGGCAAACUCCGUGCCAGCAGCCGCGGUAAUACGGAGGGGGCAAGCGUUGUUCGGAAUUAUUGGGCGUAAAGGGCAUGUAGGCGGUUUAAUAAGUUAAAAGUGAAAUACCAGGGCUCAACUCUGGAGCUGCUUUUAAUACUAUUUAAACUAGAGAUCGAGAGAGGAUAGUGGAAUUCCUAGUGUAGAGGUGAAAUUCGUAGAUAUUAGGAGGAACACCAGUGGCGAAGGCGACUAUCUGGCUCAGUUCUGACGCUGAGGUGCGAAAGCGUGGGGAGCAACAGGAUUAGAUACCCUGGUAGUCCACGCUGUAAACUAUGAGUGCUAAAUGUGGGGAUAUUUUAUCUCUGUAUUGUAGCUAACGCGUUAAGCACUCCGCCUGGGGACUACGGUCGCAAGACUAAAACUCAAAGGAAUUGACGGGGACCCGCACAAGCGGUGGAGCAUGUGGUUUAAUUCGAUGCAACGCGAAAAACCUUACCACUUUUUGAUAUGAAGGUCGUAUCUUUUUUAACCGGAAGAGUCAGUUUGGCUGGACCUUACACAGGUGCUGCAUGGCUGUCGUCAGCUCGUGUCGUGAGAUGUUGGGUUAAGUCCCGCAACGAGCGUAACCCUUGUCCUUAGUUGCCAACAGGUAAUGCUGGGAACUCUAAGGAAACUGCCAGUGAUAAACUGGAGGAAGGUGAGGAUGAUGUCAAGUCAGCACGGCCCUUAUAAGGUGGGCUACACACGUGCUACAAUGGUAACUACAAUAGGUUGCAAGAUCGCAAGAUUGAGCUAAUCCAUAAAAGUUAUCUCAGUUCGGAUUGUUCUCUGUAACUCGAGAGCAUGAAGCCGGAAUCGCUAGUAAUCGUGGAUCAGCAUGCCACGGUGAAUACGUUCUCGGGUCUUGUACACACUGCCCGUCAUGCCCUGGAAAUUGGUUUAACUCGAAGCUGGUGAGCUAA